GAAGCAUGUUUUUAAGAGCAAAUGGCAGCAAAAAUCAAUCUUUACUACUUUUUUUUUUUUUUAAUGGAAAACAAAUAGACAAUUCACCCCAAAAAACGGGUCUUACAUUGUAAUAUCUGUCAAAAUAAUUGAAAAUUAGGCACCUUUUGAACUUCCUAUGCCAAUGCAAAGACUUUACAUGAAUUUGCUGUUAAGUAUUGAUCAUUUUGACACCUUAUUUUUACUAUUUAUGUCUGGGCCACCUCGCCAUCCUCCUAUUGCAGUUCCCCAAGUGUCCACCAGCUUGUGCUGUCUGCUAAGAAAUGUGAGAUUUUAUAGACUAAAAAAAGCAACAACUUUCAUGAAGUUAAAAGCUCUGAAGUGUCCCUUCCUGAGUGUGUUAUCAUACUGUAUGUUCCUGGUUAACUGUAUAUGACAACAGGUUUAGUUCUGCUAGAUUUACUUCAACACUAAAUUCAGAUGUAAUCCCUGAUCCGAGACCACAGAUUUAGUGGCUUCUCAUGUUGAUGCAGACUGAAGUUGGGUCCCUGGCAACAGUCGCUGCCAAAUAUAGAUGGAAAACAGAAGGUUCUUGGUUUGCAUUUAUGAUUGUUUGUGCGUUGUGUGCUGCUGUGCGUGCAUGCUGAUGUGUGUGUGCAUACAUGUCCUGCAGACCUUGUUUGUCUAUUGUAUUUGGGCUUGUUAUUGUUUACUCCUGAGGGGAGUAGGGAGCGAUUGCAUCUGAACACUGAAAUUACAGCGAUGCCAGACUCUGAUAAACGCAGUCAGAGAGCAGCAGCCUUCUCAUCCUGCCCCCGACUCUCCCUCUCUCUCUCUGGUGAGGCCCGGCGAUCCACCAUCACAUGGAUGUGGGUGAGGAAACGGUGGAGGUGGAGGUAGUAUGGAAAUGAGGAGUCCUUUUGUUGAAUUUGAGAAUUUUCCCGCAUGACGGACAUGUUGCGACAACUGUGUGGUCUUCUUUUCGUGUUUUGUGGUGUUCAUUUCCUGAAAAAAGCCAAAGCAGGUUCCUGAAUCCAGUUUAAAGACUAACUGACUGAAUCAGUACAUCGUUUUCUGUAUUGAUGACUGCAAGGAAAACAGUAAAAUUAGAAAAAUAAAAUACUUAGUGUGGUGUCAGAGGUGUUUGGAGGAAAUCAACAGUCAGGAUGCAAGUAUUUUAGGUCUGAAUACUGACAAGUAACUUGAUGGCGAAAGUAUUUUGUUCAUCACAUCCCAAUAAAUAAAUAUUCUAACUUAUGAGAGCAAGAUUUUGACAAUUAACCAAUCUUGUGUGCUUUUUCUGCAGACUGUAAAUGAGAUCAUGUAGGUUUAAAAUACAGACCUAAUGACUAGAAUAAUAUUACACACUCGGAUACAUACAGACUUGUGUUGUCCCCAACAGUGUUCAAACCCAGGGAAAUCCUUAAUUUUACCUGUAGUAACCAUGGGAACAAGGUAAACACUGGAUUACACGUCAGAAAGUGCAAAAGGAAGAAGAAGACAUCACUAUAGAUCAGUUACUAUAUAGCCUACUGAUUGUUUUGACAGUGCUGGGUGUCCCCAUGAUUAAAUCUACCACUGCAUGUUAGCUACAGUUGUAUUCUGACUCACCAGAUGUUGACAUCAGGUAUUAGUCCGCUAUCUCCUUCCUCUAUCUUCGUGUUACUGUUUUUGAAAUCCCUCUUUGCUACAGGAAACAACAUCUUCCAAGCAGCAAUCGACACCCUGAAAAUGGCUACCUGAAGAUCUGGAUCGUACAGUUAGCCCUCCGAUGGACUGCUGACCUGUCCAGGAUGAACUCCACCAUUCUUCAAUUCCAACUGGGAUAAUCUGCAGUCCUCCAUGAACCUCUACAGAAUGGAACAGGCUGUUAGAGGAAGGACACGCCUGUUUUUUCCCAGUUCAGCCUCCUCUCGAAGCCUCAUCUCCUCAAAGUGCAUCUAAGGGUUUGGAAGAUCCUCCAUGACCGUGGAAGAGGAAAGAUUUUCGGGCCACCAGAGGAGAGAGGAUGCAGGAGGCGUCCUCACCGGCGGCCUCCAAAAUCACUCCUACGAUACCUCGACGAGACUUUUCUUUGAGUUGCGAGGUGGGGGAAAAAAAGUAUGAUGAAACCACGAAACAAUAACGAAUGUGGCGACACAUUUCUUGAAGGGCGGCGGGCAUUUUGGAGAGAGAGAGAGAGAGAGAGAGAGUGAGGAAAGGGAAGAAGAAGAAGGCAGGGAGGGGAAGAGGAGGACGAGGCGAGGAGGGGGAGGCGUGUGUUCAAAAUCCACAAAGGUUUUGUAAUAAAUGCAUCGGCGACAAUAAAAACAAAAACAUUAAAGGGAGAAAAGACGUGUUUCUGUGUUAAACAAUUAGUGCUGCAGCAUUAGAGCCGAUCAGGAGGAGACAAAAGCUCGGCAGCAGCAGGGGUUUACCCCAGACACAAAGACACAAAGACAGAUGCUCUGCAGCCCAGCCAAGCUACACCACCACACCAGCUUCCAGUGGAGCUGCAUGGAACCACAUCCACCAUCCAGCCGUCUGUAGGUCUGCAGCAGAACGGCAAAGGAACGUAACUGGAACACUUCUACACGUCUGCUCUGAAAUACUCAACUAUGUGUAUGUGUUUGUGGCUAGAAUUAGAAGUUAGGAUGAGAUAAAACUUUAUUUAUUCCUCAGAACAAACAAAAUGACAGAACAUAAGAAAAGUAGGAAAACAAAAAGAUAUAAGUGCAAAAUAUUGCUGAAAUAUAAUAAGUAAGCUAAAAUAGAAUGGUAAAAAGUAAAUAUUGCAAUGAUACAGAGAAAAGAAGUGAUAUCACAGAUUAAAAUGAGGAAUUGCAGCUGAAAAAUCAGAUCAAAAAUGAAAUGUUGCACACAACUUUGACAAAGAAUAUUGCACAUAUAAUGAAAAUGGUGCACAUUAUAAUGCAAUAUUCCACCUAAAAAAGGAAAUGGAAAUCCCACACAUUGCAUAGACAAUGUUGUACAAAAAAUGAAUAUUUCACAUAUAAUCAAAAUGUUGCACAUGAUAAUGAACAUGAAAAAUGAAAUGAACAAAUAUUGCAUGUUACAAUGACAAUGUUUCACCUAAAAUGUUAAUAUUACACAUAUAAUCAAAAUGUUUCACAUGAAAAUGAAAUAUUACACAUAAAAAAAACUAAAUGAAAACAGGAAUUCUGCACAUUAUAGUGACAAUAUUGUGCAUAAAAGUACAUUUUUGCACAUGUAAUGAAGCUGUCACUGCUGAUAAUCAAAUAUUAAACAUGAGAAGGAAAUAUUACACCUGAAAAAUGAAGUGAAAAACGAAAUGUUGCACAUUAAAUUGUCAGUAACACUAUGAAAAAUAUUACUGUUAGCAUUUAACCUUAAACUAUCCAACUAACCGAUCAGAACCAAACAUUAACUCUAAAUUCUAGUAGAUCAAUCAUAUUCCAGUUACAAAGAAACUGCAGUAAUACCGCUGUAAGUGUUUUGCAUCUAUAUUAUUAUGUUUAACUCUUAUAAUAUUGCUCAGUAAGUUAUAGGAACAACUAAGAGAUAAUGCACAACAAGACAAUGGAGCGGCUUCUUGUAAAUUUUUGACUAUUGUGGAGGUAAAAAUGUACUUUUUAUAAAUCAUUUAGGAUGAACAUAUUGCCUAAUGUAGCGUAAUAACACUAAAACCUCCAAAACAAGAAGAAGAAACGGACUGCAUUUAAGUUUAGUUUAUUUAUCAUUAAUUAAAUUUUGUCUCCAAACCCGAAAGAUUAUUUUCUGUCUAAAAGUUAUAUAUUUAGUAGUUUCUGUGAUGAAAAUAAUCCCUUCCUGCUUUAAAAGAGCUUAGAUGCAACUCUAUACAGUUCCCUCUUCUAGAAUCCGCAGAUCUAUGAAGUCCUAGCUUUUAUUUCCACUCACGCCUCCUCACUCUCUGCAGCCCGAGCACACCAGCUCAUGUCAAACACUGUAAAACUACUCAACACAGCAUAAUUUCAGCUUGCAAUAUUGGAGUAAUUCAGCCACAAAUGUUCAAACUGGGGCUGCACAGUGGUUGGUGGUUAGCACCGUCGCCUUGGAGCUAGAAGAUCCUUGGUUCGAUCUUUCUGCAUGAAGUUUGCAUGUUCUCCCUGUGCAUGUGUGGGUUUUCUUCGGAUACUCCGGCUUCCUCCCACUGUCCAAAAACAUACUGAGGUUUACUGGUGAUUCUAAAUUGUCCAUAGGUGUGAAUGUAAGUGUGAUUGUUUGUCUCUAUGUGUAGCCCUGUGACAGACUGGCAGAGGACCAGGACUUAAUCA